rnacentral:rRNA from 1 species
GAAUAAGCACCGGCUAACUACGUGCCAGCAGCCGCGGUAAUACGUAGGGUGCAAGCGUUAUCCGGAAUUAUUGGGCGUAAAGGGCUCGUAGGCGGUUCGUCGCGUCCGGUGUGAAAGUCCAUCGCUUAACGGUGGAUCCGCGCCGGGUACGGGCGGGCUUGAGUGCGGUAGGGGAGACUGGAAUUCCCGGUGUAACGGUGGAAUGUGUAGAUAUCGGGAAGAACACCAAUGGCGAAGGCAGGUCUCUGGGCCGUCACUGACGCUGAGGAGCGAAAGCGUGGGGAGCGAACAGGAUUAGAUACCCUGGUAGUCCACGCCGUAAACGGUGGAUGCUGGAUGUGGGGACCAUUCCACGGUCUCCGUGUCGGAGCCAACGCGUUAAGCAUCCCGCCUGGGGAGUACGGCCGCAAGGCUAAAACUCAAAGAAAUUGACGGGGGCCCGCACAAGCGGCGGAGCAUGCGGAUUAAUUCGAUGCAACGCGAAGAACCUUACCUGGGCUUGACAUGUUCCCGACAGCCCCAGAGAUGGGGCCUCCCUUCGGGGCGGGUUCACAGGUGGUGCAUGGUCGUCGUCAGCUCGUGUCGUGAGAUGUUGGGUUAAGUCCCGCAACGAGCGCAACCCUCGCCCUGUGUUGCCAGCACGUCGUGGUGGGAACUCACGGGGGACCGCCGGGGUCAACUCGGAGGAAGGUGGGGAUGACGUCAGAUCAUCAUGCCCCUUACGUCCAGGGCUUCACGCAUGCUACAAUGGCCGGUACAACGGGAUGCGACACCGCGAGGUGGAGCGGAUCCCUUAAAACCGGUCUCAGUUCGGAUUGGAGUCUGCAACCCGACUCCAUGAAG